GAAGACAGAAACAACAGCCACAGAGCUAAAAAGGAGAAGCAAGUGAGUCUCCAAAACUAAGUGAAAAAGAUGUGUUUUGAAGAAAAGGGAGUGAGCAACUGUGUUGAGUGCUGAAGACAGGUCAAGUAUAAAGAGGGCUGAGAUUGGACCACUGGAUUUGGCAGCAUGGAGGUACCUGAUGCCACCAAUUCCUGAGUUUUUCUGCUGUUCAGUGGAGUGGACUAUCGCCUUCAAAUUAGCCUGGCCCUGGGCAGGAAAUGAAGACCCUGAAUCAGCCCAUCAGAAGCAGGAGAUCCCUUUCGUCGACCUUCUCAUUCCAUCUCUAUGCUGGAGCAUUCUUGUGACCUAACCAUAUUGAAACUGCCUUUGCAAAAUAUGACUGAGACAGUGAAAGAGGUAUAACUUCACCAAUUCCAUCUUGGUUCUAACCUCCAAGCUCUCCUUGAUCAUUCCUAGGCAUAGGCUGAACUAACUUUGGGAGAAACUUAGUUUAUAGUUUACAAUUUAAAACAGACAU
rnacentral:lncRNA from 1 species